rnacentral:rRNA from 1 species
CGUAACAAGGUCUCCGUUGGUGAACCAGCGGAGGGAUCAUUACUGAGUUACCGCUCUAUAACCCUUUGUGAACAUACCUAACUGUUGCUUCGGCGGGCAGGGGGUGCCGCCUGCGGACCCCCCUCCCGGCCCUGCCCUCACGGGCGGAGCGCCCGCCGGAGGAUACCAAACUCUAUUUUAACGACGUUUCUUCUGAGUGGCACAAGCAAAUAAUUAAAACUUUCAACAACGGAUCUCUUGGUUCUGGCAUCGAUGAAGAACGCAGCGAAAUGCGAUAAGUAAUGUGAAUUGCAGAAUUCAGUGAAUCAUCGAAUCUUUGAACGCACAUUGCGCCCGCCAGCAUUCUGGCGGGCAUGCCUGUUCGAGCGUCAUUUCAACCCUCAAGCUCUGCUUGGUGUUGGGGCCCUACGGUUGACGUAGGCCCUUAAAGGUAGUGGCGGACCCUCUCGGAGCCUCCUUUGCGUAGUAACUAACGUCUCGCACUGGGAUUCGGAGGGACUCUUGCCGUAAAACCCCCAAAUUUUUAAAGGUUGACCUCGGAUCAGGUAGGAAUACCCGCUGAACUUAAGCAUAUCAAUA